UCCAGCUCCUGCACUCUGAGGCUGUGGGAGCUUUGGCUUUCUGACUGAGCGUACUUCUUCUGCUGCGGCUAAGCAGACAGACAGAGUUGUCUAGGAUCCUGCCGACUCCGCUUUGUAAGACCCAGUCACAAGCUGUCACCCGCGGGACAUGCUAAAGGAAGGAAUUGGCGGCGUGGACGCUUCCUGCUAUGCAGCCGUGGGCUCUGCUAGGCGCUCAACUCAGGCUGGGACCCCUUGUGCUAAUCCCAACAGCUCCUGGAGAAGUGGGCACCACUUGAACUUCUAGAAACGAGGUAAUACGGGCUAGAGGCGGUGCCAGGGGAAGAGAGCCAGGAACUGUUUAGAGUCUCCGCACCUAAAACAAGUUCAUUUUCCAACCAGAGGACAACUGACUCAUCGACAGGACCACAGGGUCUGAAGACCUGAUGGCCGGCCUUCCCUUCCUAAAACACAGAGAGAGCCAUCCCUGAAGGUCUGGAGGGAGCCCCAUUAACACAGCGGACACAGCAAGCGCGGACAGAACCCAUGCAGCAAGCGUGGGCAGAGCUCACCUGUUUUUGCCGCUGGUGUAUGAAGAACUUUUUCCUCUUGAAAGAAAUUUUGAGUAUGUUCACCCUGUAAAAAGCAAAGCAAAGCAAAACCACGCAUAACACAAAAAAGAAAGCAAAAUGCGAACCAAACAAAGACAUCAGGGCUCAGCCGGGCUACAGCUGACCCUCUUCUGCAUGGGUCCUCUAUUUCUUGAUCUGAUGACUGCUGGCUGCUGGGAACGUGCCUCGGCUGAAUUCAAGGAGCUGACUGACCGAGCUGGAUCUCCAUGGGCCUCUGCACUGUGAGGUAGCUUUUAAAUAACUGGGAGUGCGGGCCAUGCGCACUCUCUGCUCUAAGUCUCUUUGUGCCUACGUGGGGGAUAAGACAGCUGAGGGCAGUGUGGAGCAGGGGGGAGGACAGGCCUGGGUUGUACCCCAGCUCUGUUACUCAACAGUCACGUGUGAAAGAACCUCUUCACCAUGUGCAUAAAACGGAAUGAAAGCUACCAGUCACCAAGUGUUUUUUUUUUUUUUCCUCUCUCUUCUGGAGUGAGCACGCACGAAAUCCCCCACUACCACAAAUUAUGCGGUCGAGUUUCCCGCGUUUGGGGAAACCUCAGGGGUCAGCACAUCCCGAAUGUAAUGGAUAAACCCUGCCCUGGGAAAACCGCCUUUGUGAUCACGGUAUCCCCCCUGCCGGGUAAGUACACCGAGGAUUGUCAUAAACCAGGCCACUGCCACAGGCUUUAUAAACAUUGCCUCCAUUGCAUCUUGCAACAGACCCAAAUAGUGUUUAUCCACAAUAAGAAGUUGGGGUGCGGAGAUGUAUGUCACUGCCGGGAGCCAUGCUCUGAGCUUGGGGCUCAACCUCCAGAGCCUAUGAUCUCGGACCCUAUGCCAUCUGCUGAGUGGUGGCCCGUCACAGCCUUUGUCACCAUGGUCCUACGACAAUGAAGAUGUAGUAAGCAUGCCAAGUUAUCACUGGUUCUUAAUGCACCAUAGGUGCUCAGUGUUGGCACUUUUCAUUAAAACUGGUGAGUGAGAUCAGGACGUGCGUGUGGGUGCCUGUGUGUGCAUGUGCACGUGCGCGCGUGUGUGUACAUAUGUGGAGGCCAGAGUCUUCCCUGGGUGUCCUUCCUCAGGUGCUGCCCACCGUAUUCUUGGGGACAGGGUCUCUCAUUUGAGCUGGAGCUCACAGACUACGAAAGGAUAGGUUGGCUGGCCGGCGACCUCAGAGAUUACCCUUUCUGACGCCCUAGUGUUGGGAUUACAAAUGGGCACCAACAUGCUCGGUAUAAGUUCACCUCUUAAAUAGACUGUAUUCACUAUGACAAGCUACUGUAGUCCAACACAAUAUUUGGGGGAAGAAAGGAACUCCAUUUCUCUCCAGGAUCAUAUCAAGGCCUUGAUAAGAACAUUUUAGAACAGAGAGGUUGAAUAAGUAAAGUGAAAGUUUAGUCAUGUUGACAUUUCCCCAGCAUAACACACACACACACACACACACACACACACACACACACACACACACAGAGCACUCUUGCAGUAUAUAUGAAAAGCAAAGACCUAGUUUAAGUCUGGCAGAUACUCUUAUUUGACAAGUGAAUUUUAUGGAGUGACUGCAGGCCGAUCAUAUAAGGACCAGAAGGCUCUUAGGGCCAGUUCUUCUGAGGCACCCAUCACAGAGCAUGGGUAGGUCUCCCUCCUCCAUACGGUUUGUGUUGGAGGGCACACACAGGAAUUCCUAUUUCACAGGGGUCUGGAGAACAAACUUGUUCCUCACGGAGUCCUUAGCCUUGUCUUGCUCAGCACAACUGCUUGUGUGCCAAUGGCUUCAUAUGGGGGUGGGGGGUCCCCGGGGUGGGGGGUCCCCUGCCAGGCCCCCUGGUUCAGAGUGUCCAUGCGUCAAUGCUUACAACUCUCUCGUUGGCUGUGUUCUCCACUGGAACACAAAUCUGAAGGAUACAGAUGCGAUUUCCAGGCUGAAGGCCCUACAGAGGGCUUCUCUACUGCCGUUUCGGGCACGAGGAAAGAGUAAUAAUGCACUGAGUGUGUAGAUGGACUGAGUACUGUACCAGGCCCCAGGGACAGAGAGAACAAGGCAGUGGGCACUGCCGUCUGGACACUCAUCAUCUGACAAAGGAAAACAGGUACCGAAUGACGCAGACAGCCAGAUCCCUGUGACCGCUGCAUGCGAGGGAAUCUAGUUCUCAUUAGAUCAUCAAGGGUCACGUCAACACUCCCGCAUCCCGUGAGUCUCUCGGCGUCCCGGUCACUCUGGCAACUUGACCACGGCACACCAUGCUCUAGCCUAAUCCACCAUCCACCCGGUGCUGACCACUGUGCUCUCCCUUGUUCCUGGAGAUACACUCGCUCUGCACCUUCUUUCUAGAAUGUAUCAUCCCCGCUGAGGCCAGUGCCUACCCUCUUUAGACUCACUCCUUCAGGCUCUGGGUCCUUCUCCACGCUGCACCGUGACCUGACCUAUCUACCUUGAGUUUACUCUCCAGUGCUGACCUUGCUAUUGGUCUCUUGAGGUUUUCACUGAUUACAGUGUGAAUGCGUGAAGUGUUUAUAUAUUUGGACACUGGGUUCCCCAGCUGGUUGGUGGUGCUGUCUGGGAAGGUGUGGAGCCUUUGGGAAAUGUGGCCUAGCUUUUGGGAGUGGCUCAGUGGGAGUGCACCCUGAAGGUUCCAACCUGGGCUCUGCUUCCUGAUCUCCUAAAGUGAAAAGGCCAGGCCGUGUUGCAAACUCUCACUGCCAAUCGCUGUCCAGCCAUUCAAGUGCCCCCGCCCUACCUGCACCGCAUACCACUGGACCCUCUGAACUGUGAGCCGACUCUGCACCCCUCAACUUGUUUCUAUCAGUUACUUUGUCACAGUGUUACAAAAAGUAACUAACACAGCAUUGGCAUCCCAGACAGGCUUUGACAGGAGCGGAACCUGAAGAGAAACCUAGAUUACCUGAAGGAGCGCCUGAGGGACUGGAGGGGUGUCAAGAGACCCCGUCCGCCCGGUCCCAAAGGCUUCUUUCGGCUUCCUAACUAAAGAAUCCGUAUGGGAUCCACCUCUACCUUUGCAUGUGAUGCCACACCCGGAUUGUGGAACCGUUAUAGAUCCAGCCACAGAGGAAGCCGGACUCCGGUGGCUUCUGGCCUAUGGCCAGAGAACUCUGCAGGCUACAGCCCAGCUAGCUAAGCCAUCCAAGCCAUGACUAGGGUCUCCUGCUGCCAGCGAGGGGCUCAAGAUUUUAUCACCUAUCACACCGACUCCAUGACAAAGCUAAGUAAGACUGUGGCGUGUUUUGUUGAAAAUUAAACGUCCCUAAAAUGAGUAGAAAA